rnacentral:rRNA from 1 species
CACGUAGUUAGCCGGUGCUUAUUCUUCAGGUACCGUCAUUAGCCCCAGAUAUUAGCCGGAGCCGUUUCUUCCCUGACAAAAGAGCUUUACAACCCGAAGGCCUUCUUCACUCACGCGGCAUUGCUGGAUCAGGCUUGCGCCCAUUGUCCAAAAUUCCCCACUGCUGCCUCCCGUAGGAGUCUGGACCGUGUCUCAGUUCCAGUGUGGCUGGUCGUCCUCUCAGACCAGCUACUGAUCGUCGCCUUGGUGAGCCUUUACCCCACCAACUAGCUAAUCAGACAUCGGCCGCUCCAAAAGCAUGAGGCCCGAAGGUCCCCCACUUUCUUCCGUAGAACGUAUGCGGUAUUAGCGCAACUUUCGCUGCGUUAUCCCCCACUUCUGGGUACGUUCCGAUGUAUUACUCACCCGUUCGCCACUCGCCACCAGGCCGAAGCCCGUGCUGCCGUUCGACUUGCAUGUGUAAAGCAUGCCGCCAGCGUUCAAUCUGAGCCAGGAUCAAACU